UGAUAUUGGCCACUGUCAGAAGACAGGAUAUUGGUCUAAAUGGACCUUUGGUCUGACCCAGUAUGGCUACUUCUAUGUUCUUAUGAGCUUAAGAGUUGAAAUAGACAUGACUAAGGGCAUGAUACAGACCAAUAUGUAGUGCCUUUUCCAAGGUAAUGCAGCAGAUCAGUAUCAGAAUCCGGAAUAGAACCCACGUCUCAUUCUGUCCAAUCCCGCCUCCCUCCACUAAACCCCCUGUGAUGUUAUUAGAUUGCAAUUUGAACAUAUGGAUCAUUGUUGCAACCACUGUUAUAUGUUUGCGCCAACUCUUGUACAAAUUGGGCCAAGAAAGCUAUUUAUAAAAGCUUACAAUUAGCUGAUUAUGUUUAUUCUAUUCAUACGCAUGCAUCGUUUUUGGAUAGGAUCUUAUGAGUAUUGGCUAUGUACUUGUAGUUCAAACGGUUGCUUCUGGGAGACAUCAACAGGAGGCUUGACCAGCCUAAUAUAAAAGGGCUACUAGUCAAGUGAACAGAAGUGCUUGAUGGACAAUGGGCCUUAGAUGGUGCCGAUCCACAUCUAAUAAUCUUUUCUGUGAAUGUUCAGGCAAACAUGGGAGCCAUAGUGUCAAGUUGCAAAUAAAUCAGUCCUGCAUUGACAGGUGACUUACUUUUCUGACAGACACCGCUUGGGGAUAUAUUUUUACACAGGAGAACAAUGGCAUUCCUUCCACAUGGACAAGGAUAUAAAAAAGGGCCCUCAGGGUUCUUCCAUUUGGUCUUCAGUCCAGCUUCUCACCUCUGGAGGAUCUUUGCUAUGAACUGAAGCUUGAACAAAGGUCUGAUAAUCCAUCCUAACAUAGGAUGUGUUCCAGAGAAUUGAUUUCCUGCCUUCUUUUCUUCCUUCCUUCCUUCCUUCGGUCCUGUAGAUUCUAAAGAAUUGGCUAACAGCAUGCCAUUAGAGUUAUAAAUUGACCUAGGAAAUUAGCUGGUCCUUUGGGAUCAGAAGAACCUUUUUUUGAUUUGGUAAGAUUGAUUUUCCUAACCUCUUGUCUGCAUAACGUGCGAUAUUGGUGGUGGCAGAGAAGAACUGGAGUGUCUAAGAAAGUUGUUUGUAUGGUUACUUUCUAGCUGGUGUGGUGAAUAGAAGUGCUCUUUGUGACUGGUUUGACAUGCUCUAUAGUGGAGGACUCCCAGCCAUGAGCUAACAUUGUCCACUGCACAAUGGCAUGGACUGGAACUGGAAAGAAAGUGGAGAUCCAUGACUUCCAGGUGCUGUCAGCUGGAAAAAAGGAAGAAUUGAUAGUUCACAUGGAGAUGAAACUAUUGGCUACCCGCCCACACAACCAAUUGACGGAGCAAUCCCGUGGGAUUAACCUCCAUUUCAGUGAACAUUUUCCAUUUACUUAAGAGCAAAGGAGAAAAAUUUAAAACAAACCCAAGAAAGAUCCCACCGUGGUAAGAGAAUGAAGGGCCAGAGCCCCAACUUGUCAAUCAGCAUCGCCCCUUAAAUAUCACUGGUGCUAAGCUGAGUUACAGCAGCUGGGGAGGUGGCUCUCCUCAGGAGCAGA